rnacentral:lncRNA from 1 species
UGUUUCGCAAUCCCACACAGAAGGAAUUUAUUGUACAACUCACAAUUUUUCAAUUGCAUUUUGGUGGACCAGUGGGGAGAACUGGACUCCGCACUCCUGACUCCGGACUGACUGUCAGUCUGCCCGACUUGUCUGUCUCCUCGGCCUCUAUGCAUUUCCUCACUGACGCAGCCAGUCAGCAGCCAGCCUGCCAGCCAGCCAGCUGCAUGGGAUUGUACUCGGGGCUCGAUGGUGCUUGGACUGGAGCUCGUAGCUUGCCAAUGCUUCUAUUUCAUGAACAUUGACAGUUGUUCGAGUUGUUGCUGUCGUUGUCGUAGUUGCUGUUGCUGUUGCUGUUGCUCUUGCCAGCAUGAAAUUGUUAACAACAUUUGUUAGCUGCCCCGACCACACUGCGUGCAGUCGUCGGGUCUGAGGCUGAGUUCGAGUCGGAGUCGGAGUCGGAAUCAGAGACGGAGACGGAGUCGGAGUCGCCUGCUGCCUGACUUCAAUUCAUAUUGACAAUGAAAGCUUUUGCUACCUCAAAUGCCGCAUUUUGUUUCUGCCGCAUUUGCUGUUGGUGUUGCUGUUGUUGCUUGCUGCUUGCUGCUUGCCCCGUGUGUUUGAUAGUUGGCCACACUGACAG